GAGCGGCGGACGGGUGAGUAAUGCCUAGGAAUCUGCCUGGUAGUGGGGGAUAACUCGGGGAAACUCGAGCUAAUACCGCAUACGUCCUACGGGAGAAAGCGGGGGAUCUUCGGACCUCGCGCUACCAGAUGAGCCUAGGUCGGAUUAGCUAGUUGGUGGGGUAAAGGCUCACCAAGGCGACGAUCCGUAGCUGGUCUGAGAGGAUGAUCAGCCACACUGGAACUGAGACACGGUCCAGACUCCUACGGGAGGCAGCAGUGGGGAAUAUUGGACAAUGGGCGAAAGCCUGAUCCAGCCAUGCCGCGUGUGUGAAGAAGGUCUUCGGAUUGUAAAGCACUUUAAGUUGGGAGGAAGGGCAGUAAGUUAAUACCUUGCUGUUUUGACGUUACCGACAGAAUAAGCACCGGCUAACUUCGUGCCAGCAGCCGCGGUAAUACGAAGGGUGCAAGCGUUAAUCGGAAUUACUGGGCGUAAAGCGCGCGUAGGUGGUUUGAUAAGUUGGAUGUGAAAGCCCCGGGCUCAACCUGGGAAUUGCAUCCAAAACUGUCUGACUAGAGUAUGGCAGAGGGUGGUGGAAUUUCCUGUGUAGCGGUGAAAUGCGUAGAUAUAGGAAGGAACACCAGUGGCGAAGGCGACCACCUGGGCUAAUACUGACACUGAGGUGCGAAAGCGUGGGGGAGCAAACAGGAUUAGAUACCCU
rnacentral:rRNA from 2 species